rnacentral:rRNA from 1 species
GUGGGGAAUAUUGGACAAUGGGCGAAAGCCUGAUCCAGCCAUGCCGCGUGUGUGAAGAAGGUCUUCGGAUUGUAAAGCACUUUAAGUUGGGAGGAAGGGCAGUAAGUUAAUACCUUGCUGUUUUGACGUUACCGACAGAAUAAGCACCGGCUAACUUCGUGCCAGCAGCCGCGGUAAUACGAAGGGUGCAAGCGUUAAUCGGAAUUACUGGGCGUAAAGCGCGCGUAGGUGGUUUUGUAAGUUGGAGGUGAAAUCCCCGGGCUCAACCUGGGAACUGCUUUCAAAACUGCUGAGCUAGAGUACGGUAGAGGGUGGUGGAAUUUCCUGUGUAGCGGUGAAAUGCGUAGAUAUAGGAAGGAACACCAGUGGCGAAGGCGACCACCUGGACUGAUACUGACACUGAGGUGCGAAAGCGUGGGGAGCAAACAGGAUUAGAAACCCCAGUAGUCC